rnacentral:rRNA from 1 species
GGUUGAUCCUGCCAGAGGUCACUGCUAUUGGAGUUCGAUUAAGCCAUGCGAGUCAAUAGUUCUUCGUGAACUAGGCGGACUGCUCAGUAACACGUGGGUAAUCUACCCUCGGGUCAGGCAUAAUCCCGGGAAACUGGGAAUAAUACCUGAUAGGUGAAGAUGUCUGGAACGAUGCUUCGCCCAAAGCCCCGGCGCCCGAGGAUGAGCCUGCGGCCGAUUAGGUAGUUGGCGGUGUAACGGACCACCAAGCCCGUGAUCGGUACGGGUGUUGAGAGACAUAGCCCGGAGAUGGGGGCUGAGACACGGCCCCAGGCCCUACGGGGCGCAGCAGGCGCGAAAACUACGCAAUGCGCGAAAGCGUGACGUGGGAACUCCAAGUGCCUUGCCUUAGGGUAAGGCUUUUGUUUAGUGUAACUAGCUAAACGAAUAAGUGCUGGGUAAGACCGGUGCCAGCCGCCGCGGUAACACCGGCAGCGCAAGUGGUGACCGCUUUUAUUGGGCCUAAAGCGUUCGUAGCCGGUUUGGUAAGUCUUUGGGUAAAUCCUUCGGCUUAACCGAAGGACUUCCGAAGAUACUGCCAGACUUGGAGUUGAGAGAAGUCAGAGGUACCUCUGGGGUAGGGGUGAAAUCCUAUAAUCCUGGGGGGACCACCAGUGGCGAAGGCGUCUGACUAGAGCAAGCUCGACGGUGAGGGACGAAAGCCAGGGGCGCGAACGGGAUUAGAUACCCCGGUAGUCCUGGCCGUAAACGCUGCGCGCUAGGUGUUGCAUGCUCUACGAGGGCGUGCAGUGCCGAAGAGAAGUUGAUAAGCGUGCCGCCUGGGAAGUAUUACCGCAAGGUAGAAACUUAAGGGAAUUGGCGGGGGAGCACCACAAGGGGUGGAGUCUGCGGUUCAAUUGGAUUCAACGCCGGGAA